GAUUCAGUGCAAAGAUGUUUGUGCUAACCUAAGCUUGUUGCCUUGACUUAAUAUGAUUGGGUUUGAACCUAUAUUUAAAUAGAUUGCUGAUUUGGAUUUUAUGGAAGCAUUCCAUAUGAAAUCAUCUUCUCCAUGUCAAAACCACACGAGAAAAAAUUUGUGGCAUCACUUAUUUGGGCAUUCAACGAAAGGAGUCCUUCUCCUUUACUUAUCUUAAAUUUCUUACCAACUUCCACACAUCCCUUAAUUUUGUGCGCCAUCAGAUGGGGCUUUGGAACAUGUGGAUGUGGAAGAGGAGGAGGAGUCCUUCUCCAAGAAGGAACUUCACGCCAAGAUAAAUAGGGACGCCACACUUUUAUGCGAUGAGUCUAAUUCUCUUUAAACUCUUAAUUUCUUCCUUUAUUCUCCAUGCGUUUCUUAUUUCAUCAUGUCAUAUGAUGGCUCUUUGAAUUAUAAACAUAGAAGAGAAGGAAGAGUCCUUCUUUGGCAAAGAGUUUGAGCACCAAAAAUUAUUUGGACCCUCCCUUAUAUCCGUUGAGUUUAUGGAAGAGUCCUUAAUGGUAUGGACUUUUUGUUUCUCACAUUAAUUUCUUUUCCCACGCAUAAUAUGAUUGUGUAUUAAUUUUUUCAAGCAGAAGAAGAGUCCUUCUACUAGUCAAUCACUUCUUUUUCCACACCAUUUACCUAUAUUCCAUGUUAAAAAUUAAAUGAAGGCAUGUAAAAAUGAAGGGACGCCAAGAGUUGGCAUCCCAUGGUGUCACCCCUUAUUUCCUAUAAAUAGGGGGUGCUACAAUCAGGCUUAGUGUGCCAAAUUAGGCUGAGAGUUAGCAUGAAAAUGAGAGAAAAAUGAUGAAAAAAUUUUGGAAAAAAGAUAAGAAAAAAGAGAGAGAAAAAUAGAAAGGAAGGGAAGAGUGAAAAUGAAAAGCAUGAGAUGCUUGUCCAAAAAUUAGAUUGUUCAUGUGUUGAACAUAUAAUCUGAUUUGUAUGUGGUGAGAUCUUUUGAGGAAGAAUUUCUAAAGAGAUCUUUGUGGAGGUCAUGGAGGCAUACAAGCAAUGGUGCAACCAGUUCUUGUGAAGGACAAACGGCAGCAAGCUUGCGAAGAAGGCUGCAGCACCAUGACGAGUUGGGAAGG
rnacentral:lncRNA from 1 species